ACUGAAGGAGAACUGUUUUGCUUUGCUCCGGGAAGAGUGCAGACACGACGUGAAAUCCGGAGCUCUUUGCGUGGUGCAUUUAAAAUGCUUCCUUAUUUAUAUUACCCUCAUCCCCUCCCCUCUCCCACCCCCUCACCAGCCCUUCCAAAUUUCCCUAGAAAUCUGUGUAAAGCGUGGAGGGGAAAACAUUUGCAUAAAAAGUGAAGGAGCACGCCAAGGAGCACCAAAGACCAAGAGGAGACCAGAUGAGUUUUCAGAGCAGUUCUCAGACACCCAGGACGCAUGUCAUCCUUUGCCUCGUGCUUUCUGCAAUGUUGCUGCUCACCUUCAUCUUUCUAUUAACCCUCGCCAUAACGAUCCCCCCUGACACCACCACCUCUUCUCCAUUAAUCACCCACUCAGCUCUCUCUGAGGUGUCUCUCCCAUGGGGCAUGGCUUUGUCUCUGGCAGGCUCCCCUUGAAUCAUAUCCAGAUGGCUACCAUUUACUUCCUUUUCCUCUGUCUCCUCUUCACACCAGACUCAGUUAACACUCAGUCCCUUGGUCAGGAAAACCGGAGAAAAAGUUCCCUUUUCUAAAAAGGAAGUCAGAGCGUGCUCUGCUGGAGCCACCAUGCUCAGGGAAGAGACCCAAAAUACAGCUGAGUGUGAUGUCAUUGAAACCAGAUGGAAAGACCAGAAAUCCCUUAAUCCCAGUCAGACCUAGUGAAGCUUUACUUGUGACUGUUGGGACUGAUUAAGAAUAUGGGGGCAGGGAGGAAGAGAGGGAGAAAGGUGUUCUGAAUUGGAUUGCCCUUCAAUACAGAAUGGAAUCCCCUAGAUUUUUUUUGUCCUCCAAUUAAAUGUGCAUUUCAUUCU
rnacentral:lncRNA from 1 species